GACGAACGCUGGCGACGUGCUUAACACAUGCAAGUCGAACGGAAAGGCCCUGCUUUUGUGGGGUGCUCGAGUGGCGAACGGGUGAGUAACACGUGAGUAACCUGCCCUUGACUUUGGGAUAACUUCAGGAAACUGGGGCUAAUACCGGAUAGGAGCUCCUGCUGCAUGGUGGGGGUUGGAAAGUUUCGGCGGUUGGGGAUGGACUCGCGUCUUAUCAGCUUGUUGGUGGGGUAGUGGCUUACCAAGGCUUUGACGGGUAGCCGGCCUGAGAGGGUGACCGGCCACAUUGGGACUGAGAUACGGCCCAGACUCCUACGGGAGGCAGCAGUGGGGAAUAUUGCACAAUGGGCGGAAGCCUGAUGCAGCAACGCCGCGUGCGGGAUGACGGCCUUCGGGUUGUAAACCGCUUUCGCCUGUGACGAAGCGUGAGUGACGGUAAUGGGUAAAGAAGCACCGGCUAACUACGUG
rnacentral:rRNA from 1 species